rnacentral:rRNA from 2 species
AAACUUGAGAGUUUGAUCAUGGCUCAGAAUGAACGCUGGCGGCACGCUUAACACAUGCAAGUCGAACGAGAUCUUCGGAUCUAGUGGCAGACGGGUGCGUAACGCGUGGGAACCUGCCCUUUAGUAAGGAAUAACUCAGGGAAACUUGUGCUAAUACCUUAUAAUCCCUUCGGGGGAAAGCUUUAUGCGCUAAUGGAUGGGCCCGCGUUAGAUUAGCUUGUUGGUGAGGUAAUGGCUCACCAAGGCGACGAUCUAUAGCUGGUCUGAGAGGAUGAUCAGCCACACUGGGACUGAGACACGGCCCAGACUCCUACGGGAGGCAGCAGUGGGGAAUAUUGGACAAUGGGGGCAACCCUGAUCCAGCGAUGCCGCGUGAGUGAUGAAGGCCUUAGGGUUGUAAAACUCUUUCGCUAGGGAAGAUAAUGACGGUACCUAGUAAAGAAGAUCCGGCUAACUCCGUGCCAGCAGCCGCGGUAAUACGGAGGGAUCUAGCGUUAUUCGGAAUAACUGGGCGUAAAGCGAGCGUAGGCGGAUUUGUAAGUUGGAGGUGAAAUCCCAGGGCUUAACCCUGGAACUGCCUUCAAAACUACAUUUCUUGAGUUUGGUAGAGGAGAGUGGAAUUCCUAGUGUAGAGGUGAAAUUCGUAGAUAUUAGGAGGAACACCAGUGGCGAAGGCGACUCUCUGGGCCAAUACUGACGCUGAGGUUCGAAAGCGUGGGGAGCAAACGGGAUUAGAUACCCCGGUAGUCCACGCAGUAAACGAUGAGUGCUAGAUGUUGGGAACAUUAGUUUUCAGUAUCGCAGCUAACGCGUUAAGCACUCCGCCUGGGAAGUACGGCCGCAAGGCUAAAACUCAAAUGAAUUGACGGGGACCCGCACAAGCGGUGGAUCAUGUGGUUUAAUUCGAAGCAACGCGAAGAACCUUACCGGCUCUUGACAUACCAAUCGCGGAUCUAAGAGAUUAGAUCCUUCACUUCGGGUGGAUUGGAUACAGGUGCUGCAUGGCUGUCGUCAGCUCGUGUCGUGAGAUGUUGGGUUAAGUCCCGCAACGAGCGCAACCCCUACCUUCAAUUGCCAGCACGUUAUGGUGGGAACUUUGAAGGAACUGCCGGUGAUAAGCCGGAGGAAGGUGGGGAUGACGUCAAGUCCUCAUGGCCCUUACGGGCCGGGCUACACACGUGAUACAAUGGUGAUUACAAAGGGCUGCUAAAGAGCGAUCUCAAGCAAAUCCUUAAAAGUCAUCUCAGUUCGGAUUGCACUCUGCAACUCGAGUGCAUGAAGUUGGAAUCGCUAGUAAUCGUAGAUCAGCGCGCUACGGUGAAUACGUUCCCGGGUCUUGUACACACCGCCCGUCACACCAUGGGAGUUGGUUUUACCUGAAGCUAGUUCGCUAACCGCAAGGAGGCAGCUAACCACGGUAAGAUUAGCGACUGGGGUGAAGUCGUAACAAGGUAACCGUAGGGGAACCUGCGGUUGGAUCACCUCCUUU